CGUGGGCAAUCUGCCCUGCACUCUGGGACAAGCCCUGGAAACGGGGUCUAAUACCGGAUACUGACCAUCUUGGGCAUCUUUGAUGGUCGAAAGCUCCGGCGGUGCAGGAUGAGCCCGCGGCCUAUCAGCUAGUUGGUGAGGUAAUGGCUCACCAAGGCGACGACGGGUAGCCGGCCUGAGAGGGCGACCGGCCACACUGGGACUGAGACACGGCCCAGACUCCUACGGGAGGCAGCAGUGGGGAAUAUUGCACAAUGGGCGAAAGCCUGAUGCAGCGACGCCGCGUGAGGGAUGACGGCCUUCGGGUUGUAAACCUCUUUCAGCAGGGAAGAAGCGAAAGUGACGGUACCUGCAGAAGAAGCGCCGGCUAACUACGUGCCAGCAGCCGCGGUAAUACGUAGGGCGCAAGCGUUGUCCGGAAUUAUUGGGCGUAAAGAGCUCGUAGGCGGCUUGUCACGUCGGUUGUGAAAGCCCGGGGCUUAACCCCGGGUCUGCAGUCGAUACGGGCA
rnacentral:rRNA from 1 species